rnacentral:rRNA from 1 species
UACGUAGGGUGCGAGCGUUACUCGGAAUUACUGGGCGUAAAGCGUGCGCAGGCGGCUUUGCAAGACAGAUGUGAAAUCCCCGGGCUUAACCUGGGAACUGCAUUUGUGACUGCAAGGCUAGAGUGCGGCAGAGGGGGAUGGAAUUCCGCGUGUAGCAGUGAAAUGCGUAGAUAUGCGGAGGAACACCGAUGGCGAAGGCAAUCCCCUGGGCCUGCACUGACGCUCAUGCACGAAAGCGUGGGGAGCAAACAGG